rnacentral:rRNA from 1 species
CCGGGGCUUCUUCUGCAGGUACUGUCAUUCUCAUCCCUGCUGAAAGCGGUUUACAACCCUAAGGCAGUCAUCCCGCACGCGGCGUUGCUGCGUCAGGCUUUCGCCCAUUGCGCAAAAUUCCCCA